rnacentral:rRNA from 1 species
GACGUAGGGCGCGAGCGUUGUCCGGAUUUAUUGGGCGUAAAGAGCUCGUAGGCGGCUUGUCGCGUCGUCUGUGAAAUCCCGCGGCUCAACCGCGGGUCUGCAGUCGAUACGGGCAGGCUAGAGUUCGGUAGGGGAGACUGGAAUUCCUGGUGUAGCGGUGAAAUGCGCAGAUAUCAGGAGGAACACCGGUGGCGAAGGCGGGUCUCUGGGCAGCAACUGACGCUGAGGCACGAAGGCCAGGGGAGCAAACGGG